rfam:Phytophthora infestans T30-4 supercont1.272 genomic scaffold, whole genome shotgun sequence.
ACCGCUGAACCUUAAGCAUAUUAAUAAGCGGAGGAAAAGAAACUAACAAUGGUAUUCCCCUAGUAACGGCGAGUGAAGCGGGAAGAGCUCAAGCUUAAAAUCUCCGUGCAAGUUUUGCGCGGCGAAUUGUAGUCUAUAGAGGCGUGAUCAGUGUGGGCGCUUGGGGCAAGUUCCUUGGAAGAGGACAGCAUGGAGGGUGAUACUCCCGUUCAUCCCUGAGUUGCUCGUGCGUACGAUCCGUUUUCUUUGAGUCGCGUUGUUUGGGAAUGCAGCGCAAAGUAGGUGGUAAAUUCCAUCUAAAGCUAAAUAUUGGUGCGAGACCGAUAGCGAACAAGUACCGUGAGGGAAAGAUGAAAAGAACUUUGAAAAGAGAGUUAAAGAGUACCUGAAACUGCUGAAAGGGAACCGAAUCGUUUCCAGUGUCUAUAAUCCGUGGUAUAUUUCAUUGGCGAGUGUGUGCGUGCGUGUGCUGUGGCAGCGGCUUUUUUGGCUGCGCUCGGCGUGUGUGCUGUGUGUGCUUGCUGGUGCCCUGUGCUGCGGUGGGACGUCAAGGUCAGUUCGUAUGCUGCGGGAAAUGGCCGCCGAGGAGGUAGGGCUUACGCUUGCGUUUGUCUGUUAUAUCUUGGUGGACGAGUAGUCGCGGUUGGGACUGAGGUGCCUACAACGUGUUUUUGAGUGGGCCUGUGUCUCUGUGUGCGCCGUGUGCGGAUAGCUUGCUAUGCGUGUGUGGUUGUGUGUGGAUUGAUGUGGGUUUUAACUUGUUGCCGUUCGGGACGUUGACGAAAUGGAGCGAUUUGACCGGUCUUGAAAACACGGACCCAAGGGAGUUCUAAACAUGUGUGCAAAGUUGUAAGGGUGUGGGAAACCCCAGCGCGAAAUGAAAAGUGAAGGGCAGCGUAAGUUGUCUGAGGUAGGAAAUGCUGCGGGCUUCGGUCUGCGGUGUGGCACUAUCGACCGAUCAUGAACCUUCGUGGUGAAAGAUUUGAGUUUGAGCACAUAUGUUGGUACCCGAAAGAUGGUGAACUAUGCCUGAGUAGGGUGAAGCCAGGGGAAACUCUGGUGGAAGCUCGUAGCGAUUCUGACGUGCAAAUCGAUCGUCAAACUUGGGUAUAGGGGCGAAAGACUAAUCGAACCAUCUAGUAGCUGGUUCCCUCCGAAAUUUCCCUCAGGAUAGCAGCAACUUAUUUACGAUAGUUUUAUGAGGUAAAGCGAAUGAUUAGAGGAUUCGGGGAAGAAACUUCCUCGACCUAUUCUCAAACUUUAAAUCUGUAAGACCUGCAGGUUUCUUAAUUGAACUUGUGGAUGUGAAUAUCAAGUUGCUAGUGGGCCAUACGGGGUAAGCUCGUCUGGCGAUGCGGGAUGAACCGAACGCAAAGUUAAAGUGCCAAAAUGCUCGCUCACCUAGAUACCAUAAAAGGUGUUGGUUCAUUUAGACAGCAGGACGGUGGCCAUGGAAGUCGGAAUCCGCUAAGGAGUGUGUAACAACUCACCUGCCGAAUGAACUAGCCCUGAAAAUGGAUGGCGCUAAAGCGGGCUACUUAUACUUUGCCGUUAGCGCGAUAGCAUUUAUAAUGUACGCGUUAAUGAGUAGGAGGGCGUGAAGGUCGUGAAGAAGCUCGUGGCGUGAGCCUGAGUGAAACGGCCUUUAGUGCAGAUCUUGGUGGUAGUAGCACAUAUAUUUCAAAUGCCAACUUUGAAGACUGAAGUGGGAAAAAAGGUUUCCCGUGUGAAUCGUAAAUGGGAAAACGCGGGAGAUCCAAUCCUAAAAAAUAGGAUAAUUUCCGUUUGAAAGCUGGGCUGUUUGAGGCGUGGGGUUCGUCCUUGCGUUUUGUAUGCAGCCUCGUGUAUCGAAAGGGAAUCAGGUUAAUAUUCCUGAACCGAGACGUGGAUAAUAUGUGGUAACACAACCGACCCAGGAGACGCUAGCGUGUGCCCAGGGAAGAGUUCUCUUUUCUUUUUAACAAGCAUAUCCUACCUUGGAAACGGAUUAUCCGGCGAUAAGGAGGAUGCCUUGGCAAAGCACUUUACUUUUUGAAGUGUCCUGCGCGCCCACGACAGCCCUUGAAAAUCCUGGCUAGAGAUUUAUUCGCACCCUCGUUCGUACUCAUAACCGCAUCAGUCUCCAAGGUUAGCAGCCUCUAGUU